CGAUGAAGCUCCAGCUUGCUGGGGUGGAUUAGUGGCGAACGGGUGAGUAAUACGUGAGUAACCUGCCCUUGACUCUGGGAUAAGCCUGGGAAACUGGGUCUAAUACUGGAUACUACACAUUCUCGCAUGGGGGUGUGUGGAAAGGGUUUUACUGGUUUUGGAUGGGCUCACGGCCUAUCAGCUUGUUGGUGGGGUAAUGGCCUACCAAGGCGACGACGGGUAGCCGGCCUGAGAGGGUGACCGGCCACACUGGGACUGAGACACGGCCCAGACUCCUACGGGAGGCAGCAGUGGGGAAUAUUGCACAAUGGGCGAAAGCCUGAUGCAGCGACGCCGCGUGAGGGAUGACGGCCUUCGGGUUGUAAACCUCUUUCAGCACGGAAGAAGCGAAAGUGACGGUACGUGCAGAAGAAGCGCCGGCUAACUACGUGCCAGCAGCCGCGGUAAUACGUAGGGCGCAAGCGUUGUCCGGAAUUAUUGGGCGUAAAGAGCUCGUAGGCGGUUUGUCGCGUCUGCUGUGAAAGCCCGGGGCUUAACCCCGUGGUGUGCAGUGGGUACGGGCAGACUAGAGUGCAGUAGGGGAGACUGGAAUUCCUGGUGUAGCGGUGAAAUGCGCAGAUAUCAGGAGGAACACCGAUGGCGAAGGCAGGUCUCUGGGCUGUUACUGACGCUGAGGAGCGAAAGCAUGGGGAGCGAACAGGAUUAGAUACCCUGGUAGUC
rnacentral:rRNA from 1 species